rnacentral:rRNA from 1 species
UAAAAUAAGUUUAUAAGGUGUAAGUUUAAUAAGUUGUUUUAUAUUUUAAUUUAUUAAGGAUAAGCUUAAUAAAAACAGGAAAAAUGUAUAAACCAAUUAAGUUAUGUAGGCUUGAAAUUGGCCACCAUAAUAAAACUUGUUAUAAAAUAAUUUGUAAAAUUGGAAAAAUUUUAGUACUUAUUUUCCUAGUGUUAUAGGGGUAAUAGAAGAAAUUGAUAAAUCUAAUUUAUGUAUGCUAAGAUGAGUAUUUUAAAAUUUUUAAGGAGAUAAAAUAAAUUAAAAAAUAUCUAUGAUAACGAUUUUUUUAAAAAUAAAAUAAGAAAAAGGAACUCGGCAAAUAUUUAGCUUCGCCUGUUUAUCAAAAACAUGGCUCUUUGUUGAUUUAAUAUAGAGAGUCGAACCUGCCCAGUGAAAAUUUUUAACGGCCGCGGUACCCUGACCGUGCAAAGGUAGCAUAAUCAUUUGCCUUAUAAUUGAAGGCUUGUAUGAAUGGUUUAACGAGAGCAUUGCUGUCUCUUUUUUAAUAAAUAGAAUUUGACUUUUAGGUGAAGAGGCCUAAAUAUAAUUGAAAGACAAGAAGACCCUAUCGAGCUUAAAAACUAAGUUAGGAAUAAUUAUAAAUUUAGAUUUACUGCUAAUUCAUUUUUUAAUUGGGGCGAUUAAGGAACAGUAGAAGCUUCCUUUUCUAUUUUAACUUAUAAGUAUUGAUCCAGCUAAAGCUGAUUGAAAGAAUUAGUUACCGUAGGGAUAACAGCAUAAUCUCUCUUGAGAGACCUAAUCGAAAGAGGGGGUUGUGACCUCGAUGUUGGACUAGAAUAUCCUAAAGGCGCAGAAGUCUUUGAGGGUUGGUCUGUCGACCA